CUCGUUGUCGGAGAAGCUCAGAUAUUGAUGAAGUUCGAAAGAAGUUCAAAGUAAGGUCGUCCGCGAUUGGAAGAAAUCCGGAAGGGAUUCGGAGAAUAGUUGAUUACUGUAGAAGGUCGGCUGAUAGUGAGGCCCAGAGAGCCUUUGGAGCGGCCCGGUAGAUGAAUGCAGAAGCUCAUUGUCGGAGAAGUUCGGACGGUCGAGGGGGUUCAGAGAGAUGCUACAUA
rnacentral:lncRNA from 1 species